rnacentral:rRNA from 1 species
AACGGCCGCGGUAUUCUAACCGUGCAAAGGUAGCGUAAUCACUUGUCUUCUAAAUAAAGACCAGUAUGAACGGCUUAAUGAGGACAAACCUGUCUCCUACAGCAAAUCAGUGAAACUGAUCUCCCAGUACAAAAACUGGGAUAAACACAUAAGACGAGAAGACCCUGUGGAGCUUAUAAACACACGGCCAACAAGAAACACAAACAAUGGCCACACGUUUUAAGUUGGGGCGACUUCGGAAAAAAACAAAACUUCCGAGAAAGGCCACAGCCCACAAUAAGGGAUACAACCCAAAGUAUUGACACUAGACCCAGCAAAACUGACUAACGAACCAAGUUACCCCAGGGAUAACAGCGCCAUCUUCUUCAAGAGUCCAUAUCGACAAGAAGGUUUACGACCUCGAUGUUGGAUCAGGACACCCAAAUGGUGCAGCAGCUAUUAAAGGUUCG